UACAGAGGGUGCAAACGUUGUUCGGAAUCACUGGGCAUAAAGCGUACGUAGGCGGCGUCGUAAGUGUCGGAUGAAAUCCCACGGCUUACCCGUGGAACGGUCCGGCAUACUGCGGUGCUAGAGGAUGGUAGAGGAGAGCGGAACUCUUGGUGGAGCGGUGAAAUGCGUAGAUAUCAAGUAGAACACCAGUGGCGAAGGCGAGUCCCUGGAAAACUCCUGACACUGAGGCACGAAAGCUAGGGGAGCAAACAGG
rnacentral:rRNA from 1 species